rnacentral:rRNA from 1 species
CAGCAGCCACGGUAACACGUAGGUGGCAAGCGUUGUCCGGAACUAUUGGGCGUAAAGGGCUCGCAGGCGGUUUCUUAAGUCUGAUGUGAAAGCCCCCGGCUCAACCGGGGAGGGUCAUUGAAAACUGGGAAACUUGAGUGCAGAAGAGGAGAGUGGAAUUCCACGUGUAGCGGUGAAAUGCGUAGAGAUGUAGAGGAGCACCAGUGGCGAAGGCGACUCUCUGGUCUGUAACUGACGCUGAGGAGCGAAAGCGUGGGGAGCGAACAGGAUUAGAUACCCGCGUAGUCCCUGUCUCUUAUAC